rnacentral:rRNA from 1 species
UUCGACAAUUCUGGUUGAUCCUGCCAGUAGUCAUAUGCUUGUCUCAAAGAUUAAGCCAUGCAUGUCCAAGUAUAAAUUACUCAACGGUAAAACUGCGAAUGGCUCAUUAAAUCAGUUAUAGUUUAUUUGAUGAUUCUUACUACUCGGAUAACCGUAGUAAUUAUAGAGCUAAUACGUGCGUAAAAUCCCGACUCACGAAGGGAUGUAUGUAUUAGAUUAAAGACCAACUCGGGCUCGCCCGUUUUUCUGGUGAAUCAUAAUGCAUCUCGGAUCGCAAGGCCUCGUGCCUGCGACAGAUCAAUCAAAUAUCUGCCCUAUCAACUUUCGAUGGUAGGAUAGUGGCCUACCAUGGUUGUAACGGGUAACGGAGAAUUAGGGUUCGAUUCCGGAGAGGGAGCCUGAGAAACGGCUACCACAUCCAAGGAUGGCAGCAGGCGCGCAAAUUACCCAAUCCUGACUCAGGGAGGUAGUGACAAUAAAUAACAAUACCGGUCUCUAUGAGAUUGGUAAUUGGAAUGAGCGGAAUCUAAAUCCUUUAACGAGGAUCUAUUGGAGGGCAAGUCUGGUGCCAGCAGCCGCGGUAAUUCCAGCUCCAAUAGCGUAUAUUUAAAUUGUUGCAGUUAAAAAGCUCGUAGUUGGAUCUCGGAGAGGAGUUGUCGGUCGUCCCAAGUGGAUGCUAUCGUCUCUCCUCCCUCUCUGCCGAGAGCUCGUCCUGGCCUUAAUUGGCUGGGCGAAGGUCACGGCGAUGUUACUUUGAAUAAAUUAUAGUGUUCAAAGCAGGCUCUCGCUCUGCAUACACUAGCAUGGAAUAACAGUAUAGGACUUCGGUCCCAUUCUGUUGGUCUCCUUGACCGGAGUAAUGAUUAAUAGGGAUUGUCGGGGGCAUUCGUAUUUCAUUGUUAGAGGUGAAAUUCUUGGAUCAAUGAAAGACGAACUUCUGCGAAAGCAUUUGCCAAGGAUGUUUUCAUUAAUCAAGAACGAAAGUUGGGGGCGCGAAGACGAUUAGAUACCGUCCUAGUCCCAACCGUAAACGUUGCCGACCCCGAAUUGGCGAAACAUCUGACUUGACGUCGCCAGAGCCCGAAGAGAAAUCAGAGUCUUUGGGUUCCGGGGGGAGUAUGGUCGCAAGUCUGAAACUUAAAGGAAUUGACGGAAGGGCACCACCAGGUGUGGAGCGUGCGGCUUAAUUUGACUCAACGCGGGGAAUCUUACCAGGUCCAGACAUAUCAACGAUUGACAGACUGAUAGCUCUUUCUUGAUCAUAUGGGUAGUGGUGCAUGGCCGUUCUUAGUUGGUGGAGUGAUUUGUCUGGUUAAUUCCGUUAACGAACGAGACCUCAGCCUGCUAACUAGUUACGCGGAGCCCUGUCUUCGCGGACAACUUCUUAGAGGGACUAUGAGCGCAUAGCUCAUGGAAGUUUGAGGCAAUAACAGGUCUGUGAUGCCCUUAGAUGUUCUGGGCCGCACGCGCGCUACAAUGAUGCAUCCAUCGAGUAUCUUAACCCUGUCGGAAACGACUGGGUAAUCUUAGAGAAUGCAUCGUGAUGGGGAUAGCCCCUUGCAAUUGUUGGUCUUCAACGAGGAAUACCUAGUAAGCGCGCGUCAUCAGCGCGCGCUGACUACGUCCCUGCCCUUUGUACACACCGCCCGUCGCUCCUACCGAUAGAAUGAUCCGGUGAAGCAUUCGGAUCGCACCGCGGCUGGAGGGUAACCUCCGGGUGCGGCGUGAGAAGUUUGUUGAACCUUAUCAUUUAGAGGAAGGAGAAGUCGUAACAAGGU